AUGAUCCAGAACAAGCGCCGCCGCCUCAUUGUCGGCAUCGACGACCUUCGCGACUUCAGCCUCGAGUUCGCCUGGAGUGGCCAUUUCUGCAAGUGGACUCUCAAGCUUGUUCGAAGAGUGAAAUGUUUGAAAAGAGGAGUUAAGGAAUUGGUAAAGGGUAUUUGUCAUGGUCACAGAGGGUUGUGCGUAAUUGCAGGAAAUAUUUCUCCAACUGAUGUAAUCACACAUCCCUAUAGUAUGUGAGGAAGCUGAUAUGCCAUACAUCUAUAUCCUGGCCAAGGAGGAUCUUGCAAGUGCUGGGGCAACCAAGAGGCCUACCUUCUGUGUCUCAAGUGUCUCAAUACCAUUCAAGCCAACCAAAGGGGAGCUGGAGUUGGAGGUGAAGGAGAAGUUGCAGGUAGAUUAAAACCAAGUGGUACUAGAGGUUGCUGAUCUGACCAGCUCCUUUUUCCGAAGAGCAUAUUGAAAACAAGAGCCAGUUUCACAUGAUGUGCUUGCCCCAUCUUGCGGUUGCUAUUGGCUUCACCUUCCCCUGACAUGUCAACUUCUGCCAGCGUGAAACCUGUAUUGCGUCCCUUCUGCAUGUAGACAUCAAGCUGGGGACUCUGUUUUGUUACUAUCAUCCCUUGUACUAUAAGUUAGUGGAUGCAGGCUUUUUUAUUUGUACCUCAGUUUAGUUACUGUGCUUUUGGCUGGUUAUUGCAACAAUAACUUAUAGCUGUCUUGUUAUUGUCAUCCACAGUUGGCAUGCAAUUUUGUGCUGACAUGUUGGUGAAUGGCCUUUCCUUACAUAACAUAGAUUUUUGCUAGCUGAGUAAUAAGAAGAGAUGAUCUCAAAUGUCAACAAUUGUUUGUGGUUUGUUAUUAUAAUGUGAAUUAUAAUGUUA